rnacentral:rRNA from 1 species
GACGAACGCUGACGGCGUGCUUUAGACAUGCAAGUCGAACGAGAGAGCCCUUCGGGUUAGUAAAGUGGCGAACGGGUGAGUAACACGUGGGCAAUCUGCCCUUCGUUGGGGGACAACCGGGGGAAACCCCGGCUAAUACCCCGUAAGCUUGUCGGGUCGCAUGGCCUGACAGGGAGAGGUAGCUUCGGCCAUCCGGCGAAGGAGGAGCCCGCGGUACAUUAGCUAGUUGGUGAGGUAAAGGCCCACCAAGGCGACGAUGGAUAGCUGGGCUGAGAAGAAGAUCAGCCACACUGGGACUGAGACACGGACCAAGCUCCUACGGGAGGCAGCAGUCGGGAAUCUUGCACAAUGGGCGAAAGCCUGAUGCAGCAACGCCGUGUGAGCGACGAAGGCCCUAGGGUCGUAAAGCUCUGUUGUUAGGGACGAAGGGCGAAGGGUUAAUAGCCCUUAGCCUGACGGUACCUUUCGAGGAAGCCCCGGCUAACUACGUGCCAGCCGCCGCCGUAA